rnacentral:tRNA from 1 species
GCGCCCAUAGCUCAACUGGAUAGAGCGCCAGUCUUCGGAACUGGAUGUUGCAGGUUCAAUUCCUGCUGGGCGCGCCA